AUUGAACGCUGGCGGCAGGCCUAACACAUGCAAGUCGAACGAGUGGCGGACGGGUGAGUAAUGUCUGGGAAACUGCCUGAUGGAGGGGGAUAACUACUGGAAACGGUAGCUACUACCGCAUACCAUCGGAUGUGCCCAGAUGGGAUUAGCUAGUGGGUGGGGUAAAGGCUCACCUAGGCGACGAUCCCUAGCUGGUCUGAGAGGAUGACGAGCCACACUGGAACUGAGACACGGCCCAGACUCCUACGUGGGGCAGCAGUGGGGAAGAUUGGACAAUGGGCGCAAGCAUGAAGCAUCCAUGCCGCGUGUAUGAAGAAGGCCGUCGGGUUGUAAAGUACUUUCAGCGGGGAGGCGUUACCAGCAGAAGAAGCACCGGCUAACUCCGUGCAAGACGCCGCGGUAAUU
rnacentral:rRNA from 1 species